rnacentral:rRNA from 1 species
CGAGACCUCAGGUCAGACGGGGCUACCCGCUGAGUUUAAGCAUAUCAAUAAGCGGAGGAAAAGAAACUAACAAGGAUUCC